CAAUAGCGUAUAUUAAAGCUGUUGCGGUUAAAAAGCUCGUAGUUGGAUUUCUGUCAAGGACAACUGGUCCGCCUUCCGGGUGAGCACAUAGUUUGGUCUUGACAUCUUGCUGGAAGCUGUUGCUGCACUUGGCUGUGUGGCGCAGUGUUCAGCACUUUCACUUUGAGGAAAUUGGAGUGUUUCAAGCAGGCACAUGCCUUUGGACACAGUAGCAUGGAAUAAUUAGAUUGGGCUUUUGCUCCAAUUUGUCGGUUUCUGGAGCUGAGGUGAGUAUUAAUGGGGAUUGUUGGGGGCAUCCGAAUUUAGCCGUCAGAGGUGAAAUUCUUGGAUCUGCUAAAGACGGACAACUGCGAAAGCGUUUGCCCAGGAUGUUUUCAUUGA
rnacentral:rRNA from 1 species